GCGAACCACCACCUGCUCCACAGGUUUGUACAAAUGAUGUUCAAAACUCGGAGCCGUCUGCCGAAGAGUAUGACCCAGAGGCAGUGAGGUAGAUUCUUUUGAGCAACAUGUUGAGAACCUGUUUGCUGCAUCAGAUGCUCAAAAGCGCAAGGAACACAAGACCACUUAAUUUUGGGAUGUUAAAACAAUUGAAUCCAAUGGCACAAUCAAACAGGUAAAACUGAGUGUGAAGGAAGCUAUGAAUCCACCUAACAAAAGAAAGAUCGUACUCAAGUUUAAUAGUGCACUGCAACUAGUUGGGAAUGAAGCAGGUCUACUGAGCGGCGUUAUGGGACUACUAGGAUCUAACUACACCAAAUUCCCAAUCUACGAGAAGGACUGGAGAAAGGUUCGCACCAGGGACAAGGUCUAUAAUGAAUGCGUAAAGGAAAUGUUCUAUUUUGAAGAAGAUAGUAGAGGAAUGAUCAAGCGUAUAAUAUUCAAAAUGCUAGGAAGGGCUUGGAAGGAAACAAGGAAUAGAUUAUACCAUCACUGCUAUGACUCAGGACUUUCUCUUGAAGAAAAUAUUAAAAACCGCCCAUCGGGAAUUACUGCGGACCAUUGGAGAUGGUUUCUCGAUUAUCGCAAUAGUGAAGAGACAUAGGAGAAGUAUAAGAAAAAUGCUGAGAAUCGAUCAAAGUAGCUUUACACCCACACUGGUGAAUCGAAAAGCUUGGCAAGGCUCGGAGAAGAAGAGUCGGAACGACAAGGGAGGAGAGUUAGUAAAGGAGAGUUGUAUCUCUUAACGCACAAAAGAGAUAAUGGUUCCUAUGUCUAUGAUGCAGCUCGAGCUAGUGGAGAAAGAAUUGAGGCUAUUGAGCAACGUGAUGAAUCCUCUAGACUGUUGUCUCAGAAUGAUUCGCUUGCUUAAGUUCUCGGAAAGGAGCACUCGGGUAGGGUGCAUGGCAUGGGUUUGGGGCCGACUUUUAGUCAAGUAUUCGGUAUAAAUUCCCAUCAGCCGAGCAAUGGUUUUAAAAGGAAGAAAACCUAAAGGGUGCUGCUUGAAUUACAAGCAAAGUUGGCAACCGAGAAAUUAAAAAGGAAGGUAGUGGAGAAUGAAGUAGCAGCUGAGAAGACAAAAAGACAGGCAGUAGAGGAUGAAGUAGUAGCCAAAAAGACAAAAAGACAGGUAGUGGAGGAUGAAGUAGCAGCUGGGAAGGUAUGGAUGCAGGCAAUGGAGAGUGCUUUAAUAUGUCUACUUCAAGGACAAGGUGGGAAGCUGCAAUCAGACGUCGCCACAUGGAUGAGUGCGUUGGAGGGACAGAUUAGAAAGUAGAUCUUAGGAUUGUGGAACCUUUUUUUCUUUUAGAUAUACACUCUCUUUUGGUGUUGAUUAUGAA